CCAAGCAAGUNUGAAGUGAAAUGCAUGGGCUCAACCCAUGAAUUGCUUUGGAAACUGUUUGGCUUGAGUGUNGGAGGGGUAAGCGGAAUUCNUAGUGUAGCGGUGAAAUGCGUAGAUAUUAGGAGGAACACCGGAGGCGAAGGCGGCUUACUGGACGACAACUGACGUUGAGGCUCGAAGGCGUGGGGAGCAAACAGGAUUAGAUACCCUGGUAGUCCACGCAGUAAACGAUGAAUACUUGGUGUCGGGGAGAUAAACUCUUCGGUGCUGCGAGCAAACGCAUUAAGUAUUCCACCUGGGGAGUACGUUCGCAAGAAUGAAACUCAAAGGGAUUGACGGGGACCCGCACAAGCGGUGGAGCAUGUGGUUUAAUUCGAAGCAACGCGAAGAACCUUACCAAAUCUUGACAUACUCUUGAAUAGUCUUGUGAUGAGACUAGUCCUUCGGGACAAGGGAUACAGGUGGUGCAUGGUUGUCGUCAGCUCGUGUCGUGAGAUGUUGGGUUAAGUCCCGCAACGAGCGCAACCCUUGUCGUCAGUAGCCAGCAGUAAGAUGGGAACUCUGACGAGACAGCCGGAGAUAAUCCGGAGGAAGGUGGGGAUGACGUCAAAUCAUCAUGCCCCUUAUGAUUUGGGCUACACACGUGCUACAAUGGCGUAAACAAAGUGAAGCAAAACUGUGAAGUUAAGCAAAUCACAGAAAUAACGUCUCAGUUCGGAUUGUAGUCUGCAACUCGACUAUAUGAAGCCGGAAUCGCUAGUAAUCGCAGAUCAGAAUGCUGCGGUGAAUACGUUCCCGGGUCUUGUACACACCGCCCGUCACACCAUGGGAGUCAUCAAUGCCCGAAGUCAGUGACCUAACCGUAAGGAAGGAGCUGC
rnacentral:rRNA from 1 species